rnacentral:miRNA from 1 species
AAUGAUGGUUUAAACAACACACAUUUAUAUAUGUGUGUAGAAAUGAUGGUUUAAACAACACACAUAUAAAUGUGUGUUGUUUAAGCCAUCAUU